rnacentral:rRNA from 1 species
GACGAACGCUGGCGGCGUGCUUAACACAUGCAAGUCGAGCGGAAAGGCCCCUUCGGGGGUACUCGAGCGGCGAACGGGUGAGUAACACGUGGGUAAUCAACCCCUGACAUCGGGAUACCCCGGGGAAACCCGGAUCAAUACCGGAUAAGGUGCGGAGGCGCAGGCCGCCGUACCAAAGGUAGCUUCGGCUUCCGGUCGGGGAAGAGCCCGCGGCCGAUUAGCUUGUUGGUGGGGUAAUGGCUACCAAGGGGACGAUGGGUAGCUGGUCUGAAAGGACGAUCAGCCACACUGGGACUGAGACACGGCCCAGACUACUACGGGAGGCAGCAGUGGGGAAUCUUGCGCAAUGGGCGGAAGCCUGACGCAGCAACGCCGCGUGCGGGAAGAAGGCCUUAGGGUCGUAAACCGCUUUCAGGGGGGACGAAGCUUCCGGGGUGAAUAGCCUACGGGGUGACGGUACUCCCAGAAGAAGGUCCGGCUAACUACGUGCCAGCAGCCGCAGUAA